rnacentral:rRNA from 1 species
CAAUAGCGUAUAUUAAAGUUGUUGCAGUUAAAAAGCUCGUAGUUGGAUUUGUGGUGUGUCCAGUCGGCCUUUGCUCUCUGGGUGAUUGUGCUGUACUGGUCUGCCAUGUUUGGGUGGAAUCUGUGUGGCAUUAAGUUGUCGUGCAGGGGAUGCCCAUCGUUUACUGUGAAAAAAUUAGAGUGUUCAAAGCAGGCUUAUGCCGUUGAAUAUAUUAGCAUGGAAUAAUGAUAUAGGACCUUGGUACUAUUUUGUUGGUUUGCGCACUAAGGUAAUGAUUAAGAGGGACAGUUGGGGGUAUUUGUAUUCCAUUGUCAGAGGUGAAAUUCUUAGAUUUUUGGAAGACAAACUACUGCGAAANCANNNACCAAGGAUGUUUUCAUNAA